AGAGUUUGAUUCUGGCUCAGAGUUAACGCUGGCAUCGUGCAUAACACAUGCAAGUCGAACGGGACUUUGUUUGUAGCAAUACAGAAUAAAGUUUAGUGGCAGACGGGUGAGUAAUGUAUAAGAAACCUACCUCUGAGUGGGGAAUAACAGUCCGAAAGGAUUGCUAAUACCCCAUAACAUAAUGAAAAGGCAUCUUUUUUAUUAUCAAAGAUUUAUCGCUUGGAGAUGGUCUUAUAUUCUAUCAGCUAGUUGGCAGUGUAACGGACUACCAAGGCUACGACGGAUAGCCGGCCUGAAAGGGCGACCGGCCACAAGGGCACUGAGACACGGGCCCUACUCCUACGGGAGGCAGCAGUGGGGAAUUUUGGACAAUGGGCGCCAAGCCUGAUCCAGCAACGAUGCGUGGAGGAUGAAGGUUCUCGGAUUGUAAACUCCUUUUGUAAGGGAAGAAAAAAUGACGGUACCUUACGAAUAAGCCACGGCUAACUACGUGCCAGCCGCCGC
rnacentral:rRNA from 1 species